UAUAUUUAGGUGUUUGAUGCAUUGAGAAUUUUGAUUUCUCAGGUCUUGGUUUAAUUCCAAGAAAUAUAA
rnacentral:tRNA from 1 species